rnacentral:piRNA from 1 species
UCNCAGGCUUUUGUAUCUGUAUUUCUUGA